rnacentral:rRNA from 1 species
AGUGAACGCUGGCGGCGUGCUUAAUACAUGCAAGUCGAAGGAAGUGGCGCACGGGAGAGUAAUAUAUAGCUAAUCUGCCCCUUGCUGGAGGACAACAGUUAGAAAUGACUGCUAAUACUCCAUAGCAAGGGAUGUGACUAUAUCGGAUCAGCUAGUCGGUGGGGUAACGGCCUACCGAGGCUAUGACGCGUAACUGGUCUGAGAGGAUGAGCAGUCACAUUGGAAGGGAGACACCGUCCGAACUCCUACCGGAGGGAGCAGUAGCGAAAAUUGCCCAAUCGGCGUGUCCCUGACGGAGCAGCGCGGCGUGGAGGACGACACUUGUCGAAGCAUAAGCUCCGUUUGAUAAGGGAGCGGUACCUAACGAAGAAGCACCGGCUAACUCCGUGCCAGCAGCCGCGGUAAUAC